GACGAACGCUGGCGGCGUGCCUAACACAUGCAAGUCGAGCGGGGACUUGUGGAAUGAAGCUUCGGCAGAAUGAACAAGUUCUAGCGGCGGACGGGUGAGUAACGCGUGAGCAACCUGCCUAUCACUGGGGAAUAACGCAUCGAAAGGUGUGCUAAUACCGCAUGAGACCACAUGAUCGCAUGGUCGAGGGGUCAAAGAUUUAUUGGUGAUAGAUGGGCUCGCGUCUGAUUAGCUAGUUGGUGAGGUAACGGCCCACCAAGGCGACGAUCAGUAGCCGACCUGAGAGGGUGAUCGGCCACAUUGGAACUGAGAAACGGUCCAAACUCCUACGGGAGGCAGCAGUAGGGAAUAUUGGGCAAUGGGGGAAACCCUGACCCAGCAACGCCGCGUGAAGGAAGAAGGUCUUCGGGUCGUAAACUUCUAUCCUUGGUGAAGAUAAUGACGGUAGCCAAGAAGGAAGCCCCGGCUAACUACGUG
rnacentral:rRNA from 1 species